rnacentral:lncRNA from 1 species
UCCUGCCCCCUGUCCUACCUGCCCCAUCUCUGUGUCACCUCCGCUGUCCCCCUCAUGCCACCCCCAGGAGACCCUCUGCGGGCACCAGCCCCUCGUCAGCUCCCACCAGCUCUCGGAGAAACUCCAGCGACAGCAAAGAGGAAAGAGCCAACAGCAGCAAGGCCAAACCGGAGACACCACGGACCCCCACCACCCCCACCUUCUCGCCCAGCCCCUGCCUCCUGGCCCCCUGCUAUCUCACGGGGGACUCGGUGCGGGACAAGUGCAUCGAGAUGCUGACAGCUGCCCUCCGCAUGGAUGAUGACUACAAGGAAUUCGGUGUCAACUGCGAAAAGAUGGCAUCAGAGAUUGAAGACCAUAUCCUUUGGGGGGGCUGCGGGUCCCCAGGCUCCAUCUGCUCGGGGACACACAACGUGGGUUUAAGACUGGUGGUGAG